UUCCUUGGGUAGCCGUGCCCCGUGGGUGUGGGGCUGCGCUCGCUCGCGCGUGCGCGCGGCGCCCACCCGCAGGCUGGCACCGGGGUUUCCAUGAAGGGGAUGGGAAGGAAGGGAAAGGCGAACGCCUGUGACCCUAGCCCCUCCAUAUCUAUGUCUGAUAACGUUUACCUGUCCCAAGCCGCGCGCCGGGGGCCCACGCUACUGUAAUCCUAGCAACUCGGGAGACCUGAGGCUGAGCUCUGAGGAUCGCGGUUCGAAGCCAGCCCGGGCAGGAACGUCCGCGAGGCUCCAUCUCCCAUGAACCACCAGAAAAGCGGAAGGGGUGCUGUGUGUCUCAAAGUAGCGGAGUGCUAGCCCUGAGCAAAAGAGCUCGGAGGCCGCCCAGGCCCCGAGUUCAAACCCCACAACCGACCGAAAAGCUCGGUCCGGUGUACAUGAAAUCAGACGAGUUCUACGGGGGACACCCGGGCUCAUCCCAGCAACUCAGGCCGGCCUGCCCCCGGACGUGUGCUCGUCCCCACCGUCCACCACCCACUUGCUAACAAUGUCCUAGAUGCAGCAACCCUGUGAGAAUCUCGCUUCUUUGAAGAGCACGCUGAUAGGCAAGUCUACUCCUCAGCCCUUCCUGGAAAUCAUCCAUUGAGUCUGGUGCUUUGCAAGCCUGUGUGCAAGAGGAGUUUUUGUCACUCUGAGGAAGGAUGCUCUAGUUGUGAGAUCAUCUCUCUCCAAGAGACAAGAGGACUACCUGCUUUGUGUUCUUACCAGCCUUAAUAAACAUUCUUGGCAUUAA